rnacentral:rRNA from 1 species
AUGCAGUCGAGGGGCAGCAUCAUCAAAGCUUGCUUUGAUGGAUGGCGACCGGCGCACGGGUGAGUAACACGUAUCCAACCUGCCGACAACACUGGGAUAGCCUUUCGAAAGAAAGAUUAAUACCGGAUGGCAUAGUUUUCCCGCAUGGGAUAAUUAUUAAAGAAUUUCGGUUGUCGAUGGGGAUGCGUUCCAUUAGGCAGUUGGCGGGGUAACGGCCCACCAAACCUACGAUGGAUAGGGGUUCUGAGAGGAAGGUCCCCCACAUUGGAACUGAGACACGGUCCAAACUCCUACGGGAGGCAGCAGUGAGGAAUAUUGGUCAAUGGACGAGAGUCUGAACCAGCCAAGUAGCGUGAAGGAUGACUGCCCUAUGGGUUGUAAACUUCUUUUAUACGGGAAUAAAGUGAGCCACGUGUGGCUUUUUGUAUGUACCGUAUGAAUAAGGAUCGGCUAACUCCGUGCCAGCAGCCGCGGUAAUACGGAGGAUUCGAGCGUUAUCCGGAUUUAUUGGGUUUAAAGGGAGCGUAGGCGGGUUGUUAAGUCAGUUGUGAAAGUUUGCGGCUCAACCGUAAAAUUGCAGUUGAUACUGGCGACCUUGAGUGCAACAGAGGUAGGCGGAAUUCGUGGUGUAGCGGUGAAAAUGCUUA